GAUUGAGGAAUAAACACCCGGACAGAGGAUCUGUUAUUGAGCUCUUGGAGAAGAAUGCUCUUAAGGCUGCAUUCGGCCCAGGCAACAAAGUUGAGAUGGAGGACUGCUACCCUAUCCUCAUCUCAUUCAUGCGCAAUCUUACUGAUGAGCAAUGGCAAGUGAUCUAUAAAGGAUUUAAAAAACCUAUGACAAAGGAACAGCUUGCAAAAUUGUGCAAGACCAUUGUCAACUUCAUUACACAGACCACCCUGCAGAUCCUGCUGCCGGCCCUGGCCCGCAUUCUAGGGGUGACGGGCUUUUAUGACAACGCUGACUCACUCAAGAGGGGCGGCAGUGCAAGAUCCUUCACUGCCUUUGAGCAGAAAAGACUGGAGCUCAUCCAGGAAGUUAAAUAUUUGGCGAAGGAGAUGUGUAACUGUGGCGGCAAGGCUCUCCAACCAAGGUCUAGCACACCCUCUUCCAAGAGUUCCCAGACCUCACUGAAAGCCCACCUGGGAAUGCCAGAGGACAGUAUCAUCAGCAGUGUCCAGGAGCAACUGUCAAAAUCUGACCAAAUGGUGGCUGCAGGACAGCUUUCACAAAUAGAAAAAGUGGUUGGACCUAUGCUGGAGAACAUUGAGAAGAUUAGCAGCGAACGUGGCGAGGAAUUGGUCUAUCAAGAGUCACUACGGUCUUCUUCCUCGUUGUCAUUCUCAACUGCCAAAUCACAGAAGACAGAGUGGGAAUUUGCACUCCCUGGCACUCCCAUUCCUUCUGAGUUACCCGAGAGUACUGCUCAGCCCAUUGUAAGAUGCUCAGUCAUUGACUUGAGCGAAUCUACUAAGCCAAAAACAAUGGUGUGUGAUGCCAGAACAAGCAUGUUUGCCAUAGCCGAUACCAUCAUGAAGAAGGUAUAUCCAGAGGCAGAAGGGCAGGUUACAUCUCACCCUGAUCUAACAGAUGCAAUAGCUAGACUGGAGGAGCUCAUAUAUCAGGGUAGGAUUGGUGCUCUCUCCCGUGAUCUCAGUCACCAAGUGAACCGCAUAAUUUCCGAUAGCAACUUGACCCCUCUGGGACUGACAGUGGUGGCUGGAAAGAGUGCAUCUGAUACCAUCCUUUCGAAGCUGAAGAGGAAUGACAAGGUGUGGAAGCCCACAACUUACGAGCUGGUUCAGCUGUUUGUAGAGGAGUCUGUUAAGUGCCUCCUGCUUCCUAGUUUUAUGCCCUAUUCAACUUCAAUGAGUUUGGCUCAGGGGGCCAAGGUGUUGGCUAGAGUGUCUGAAGAUAGAAUUUCAUGCUCUUCUUCUUCAUCAGUAUUUAGUGACACAGUCAGUCUCUUUACCAAAGUUAUGGUAAGCCAGGUCAUGUACUCUGUGGAUUCUGAUGCAGAAAGUAGAGGAUCCUCUCCAACUGAAUCUCUCCAAACAUCUGAAACCACUAUAUCUGAUGUAGGCAAUCUAUUGAGUGGCAAGUCCUCCCCUGGGCUGUCUCCUUCUGGCGCCAUUAUGGCAACAAGCGAGACCUCCAAUGCAGCACAAAUCUUGAAGGCCAACAUUGAUGGAGAGGAAGUGGAUACCACCAGUCAUUCUGGUGUAGCUCAAAACAUUGUCAGGGACGAUACCCAAGAAGACUCGAGGCUGUAAUCGCUGCCAAAGGUGCUUCAACAAAGUACUGAGUAAAGGGUCUGAAUA
rnacentral:lncRNA from 1 species